ACAGCGAAAUUCAACAGAACAAAGUGGGGAAGCCCAGGGAGAAGCAGCAAAAUCUGAAAGUUAACACUCCACUUUGACCUUCUUCAACACCUGACGAUGUCUCCAAUCUCCAGACCUGGCUGGAAUGCAUUUAUUUCCAAGAGUGAAAAGGGGAAGAAGAAAAUGGCUGUACUGCUUUGCAGGAACCUGCUUGUUAUGUUAAAAGUGGGGGCAGAGGCUGUGGCUGCAGACAGACUUUUCUCUACCUCUGGCAUUAGCAAUGGUUGAAAUCAUGUGGCUUGUGUUUGGAUGUCAUUUUUGU
rnacentral:lncRNA from 1 species